rnacentral:rRNA from 1 species
AGUGAACGCUGGCGGUAGGCCUAACACAUGCAAGUCGAACGGCAGCACAGUAAGAGCUUGCUCUUACGGGUGGCGAGUGGCGGACGGGUGAGGAAUACAUCGGAAUCUACUUUUUCGUGGGGGAUAACGUAGGGAAACUUACGCUAAUACCGCAUACGACCUACGGGUGAAAGCAGGGGAUCUUCGGACCUUGCGCGAUUGAAUGAGCCGAUGUCGGAUUAGCUAGUUGGCGGGGUAAAGGCCCACCAAGGCGACGAUCCGUAGCUGGUCUGAGAGGAUGAGCAGCCACACUGGAGCUGAGACACGGUCCAGACUCCUACGGGAGGCAGCAGUGGGGAAUAUUGGACAAUGGGCGCAAGCCUGAUCCAGCCAUACCGCGUGGGUGAAGAAGGCCUUCGGGUUGUAAAGCCCUUUUGUUGGGAAAGAAAAGCAGCAGGUUAAUACCCCGCUGUUCUGACGGUACCCAAAGAAUAAGCACCGGCUAACUUCGUG